CUUUGGAUAAAAAUGCAAAGCAAAAUGAAGUAUGGACAUUUGAUGAUAAAUGAUGGAUUGGUUUGUGCACAGAUACCGAAUGGGGCUCCCUCUUUAUCAUCAUGACAUGGAAGACUAGAAACAAAGUUUUGAGAGACCUUUAAAACCAAGUGGCUUUUUAAAAGUUAAGAAAAUGGUAAUCUUUUUAAUAAAUGUAAAUGCUGUUUCAGCUACCUGCCAUAAAAUGUAAAUAUCUUAAAGUAGUUAAAUGACCAAAUUGCUAAUGCUACUACAGAAAAAGCUGAACAGCUGUCUAGUCUAAAUUUAUACACCUUGGUGCACUCUGCAAUUAAAUACUUUAAUGCGCACAAACAAGAAACCAGUAAAGCAUAUAGAAACAUGUUUUGGCUAAUGCUUUUUUCUCAUGCAAAUAUGUGCUGUACAUGUAAUAAGUUUAUUUUUGUUUGCUGGAAAAAGCUCUUCAUGUUCUAUCAAAGUAUUCAGGAAUGGCAGGUUAUGUGUUUAUUAAACAGCCUAAUAGAUACAGCUCUUUUAAAUGUUUUAACUGAAAGUUCUGCAAACUUCACUAGAUGACAAAAGAACUUCACAAGCCAGUAUCACAUAUUAACUUUUAAAAUUUACUGAGCCCAUGUUUAAUUGUAUCAAAUGUUUGAGAUGACUUAUAGAAUUAUAGGUAUUCUCAUUUUCAGCUAAAGAUUCAUAAGGGGGUACAUACAGUCAACAUGAGGGGAGGCAUGUGAUGAAGGUCCAAGAUAUGUAUAAGUAAUCAAUAAUUGAAAUUUAUUUUCUUGAUCAGGAAAAUAAUUGAACUAGUGCAUUCUUCAAGAACUUAGAUAUUAAAAAACUUGGGGAAAAAGAAGAUAGUAUGAAAUUAAUUAAUCAAGGGUUUUUUGGUGGGGGUGGGGGGUGGGGAUGGAACCCAGGGCCUACAAAUAUGCUUAAAAAGCACUCUACAACUGAGCUACACCUCAGCCUGAAAAUUAAUUGUUCUCGUUUUCAAAAAUUGGCUUCAUGAGAUGCAGAAAAAGACUUUUAUGCCUGGUCCUACUAGGGUUUUAGAAAAUGCAUGCAUUGUGGAAUUUUAGAAACAAAGAUCUUUCAUAAAUACAUUUUAUAUUUUAUAAAAGGGUCAUUUGAAUAAUUUCUUGGAUUAUAGUGAAUCUAAGGCGUCCCUGAUAAUAUAAGACAGAGGCCAUCAAUUCAUAAUUAUAGUCAUUGGAAAAACUGAACUAUUGGUAAGUGAUGAGCAGUGUCCAUAGAGAUAUAAGUCAGCUCCAUCUCCAAAAUCU
rnacentral:lncRNA from 1 species